rnacentral:lncRNA from 1 species
AUCAUGGAAAAAGCUCUACGCAAGUGUUUAAUGGGUUUUUCUUCAAUCAGUUUGUAACAUGAUGCAAAAUCUUUCAAUUUUCAAAGAUAUGAUGGAUAUAUGCAGCGUUAGUAACUAACAUUUCUCUACAACAAUGAUGAGCUCUUUUUUUUUUGAGCAACACAAGAUGAUUUCAUUAAAAUGGUUAAGUAGAGUUUUGGGCCAGAAUAAGUGAAGAUAAGCAUGCCUUAGUAAGCCCAUCAGCUGGCCUAUUACAAUCUCUAGGGAUGAAAACGAAAAGACAAGAAGAAAACGGAGAACUGGUGGAGAAUGUGAGAUCGUCGAUGUCGGCGAGAACCCCGAAGAGAUCCGUCGUGCACCGGCGAGAGGUGAUUGCUCUUACUAGCACUUGAGAGUCUGUGCGAAUACAUAUAUGAGAGUGGUUGAGAGAGGCCGCCUGAAGCAAAGCUUCUUGGAUGGCAAGGGCCUCACCCAUACAUGGAGAAGAGACAUGUCUCUGAUAGCAAGAUCCUCUGGCGAGUUCCGUAGCAUUAUGGUCAGUAAAGAUCCAGGCUAAGCCCGCCGCUUAGC